GGGGAUAUAGCUCAGUUGGUACAGUGCUUGCCUCACAUGCAUAAGACUAUGGGUUCAAUUCCCAGCACCACCA
rnacentral:tRNA from 1 species